GAUAGCACAAUCGGUCGAGCAUGAGACUCAAUCUCAGGGUUGUGGGUUCGAGCCCCGCAGAAAGCA